AUUGAACGCUGGCGGCAGGCUUAACACAUGCAAGUCGAGCGGUAGAGGGGAGCUUGCUUCCCUUGAGAGCGGCGGACGGGCGAGUAAUGCCUAGGAAUCUGCCUGGUAGUGGGGGACAACGUUCGGAAACGGACGCUAAUACCGCAUACGUCCUACGGGAGAAAGUGGGGGAUCUUCGGACCUCACGCUAUCAGAUGAGCCUAGGUCGGAUUAGCUAGUUGGUAGGGUAAAGGCCUACCAAGGCGACGAUCCGUAACUGGUCUGAGAGGAUGCUCAGUGACACUGGAACUGGGAAACGGUCCAGACUCCUACGGGGGGAAGCAGUGGGGAAUAUUGGACAAUGGGCGCAAGCCUGAUCCAGCCAUGCCGCGUGUGUGAAGAAGGUCUUCGGAUUGUAAAGCACUUUAAGUUGGGAGGAAGUUCAGUAAGUUAAUACCUUGUUGAAUUGACGUUACCGACAGAAUAAGCACCGGCUAACUCUGUGCCAGCCGCCGCAGUAAAAC
rnacentral:rRNA from 1 species